GACGAACGCUGGCGGCGUGCUUAACACAUGCCAGUCGAACGGAAAGGCCCUGCUUGCAGGGUACUCGAGUGGCGAACGGGUGAGUAACACGUGGGUGAUCUGCCCUGCACUUCGGGAUAAGCCUGGGAAACUGGGUCUAAUACCGGAUAGGAGCCAUUUUUAGUGUGAUGGUUGGAAAGUUUUUUCGGUGUAGGAUGAGCUCGCGGCCUAUCAGCUUGUUGGUGGGGUAAUGGCCUACCAAGGCGGCGACGGGUAGCCGGCCUGAGAGGGUGGACGGCCACAUUGGGACUGAGAUACGGCCCAGACUCCUACGGGAGGCAGCAGUGGGGAAUAUUGCACAAUGGACGCAAGCCUGAUGCAGCGACGCCGCGUGGGGGAUGACGGCCUUCGGGUUGUAAACUCCUUUCGCUAGGGACGAAGCUUUUUGUGACGGUACCUAGAUAAGAAGCACCGGCUAACUACGUG
rnacentral:rRNA from 1 species